AGUAAGCCGUGACAGAACCGUGACAGUAACACUAUGAACAAGAGAAUCAACUUGUGAAGGGGCAGAAACAGAAUUAUUGCCCUCCACUGUGCUUUUCAGUGGUAGUUAACUGAGUGUUUUCUUGUUCAGGAUCAAGAAGAUCUCCAGCUGCUGCAGGAACUGCUGCUGUUCUGCUACCCAUCAUCUGCCUCUCUGUCUGUCUGUGGGUCCGGAAAAGGAGGAGCUCCAAGGAAACAGCUGAUCUCAGAGAAGACAACAUGGAGCAGCUUCGCUGUGGUCAAAUAGAUCCAGAGGAGCAGGAUGACCUUCUGUAUGCCAGCGUCAGCUUCAUCAUUAACCAGUCAGAAGGUUUCCACUCCAACAUCAGAGCAGCUCAGCCACACAGACUCACAGAAGAAACCAACGUUUCUGAGUAUGCUGCUGUUAGGUUUCAGAGAGUCAGUUUAACUAGGGUGAGCAGCUCCUCACACUGAAACAUCAACAUCACCGUCACCCAAACACACUGAUCUCCAUCAUUAAUGGGAUUUAACUGGUAGGUUUUUAUUUCCUGAUUUCUCUCAAUGCCUCCCUGAACCAGACCCAAGGAAACCGGAGAGAAUUUUUCAGUAUUGUAACAGAAUUUCACAAACACAGAAGGAACCUCUCAGCCCGGCUUUUUAAAGUCUAUCUUAAUUGUUUUAUUUAGACCUUAUAUUAUUUAGAGUUUUAUUUGUAUGACACAUCUUUGGUGACAUUUUCAGAGAGAUAUAAAGAACUUAUGAAUGUUUGUCUCUCUGACAUUAUCCUGACAUUUAUGUGGAGCUGCUUACAUGAAAACUACACCAGGUGGCGCUGUUUUUUGUAAAGACUUGGUCUUUAAAAUACUUAAAAUGUACCAUAUGUUACAGAUUAUUCUGUUUUCCCGAAAUGUUGUAAAAUUUAUAUUGAACACUUCUAAACCUGUUUGAUCUGUUCUUAUAGUACAAGUGUGUUCAAAUUUUAUUUACUUAACUGUGCAAAACUGUAUUUAAAUUGGACCUUAUUGGUCCAUAUUUCUUGUAU